rnacentral:misc_RNA from 1 species
GAAAUGCGAUAAGUAAUGUGAAUUGCAUAAUUCCGUGAAUCAUCGAAUCUUUUAACUCACAUUGCGCCCUCUGGUAUUCCGGGGGGCAUGCCUGUCCGAGCGUCAUUGCGAACCCCUCAAGCACUUCUUGUGUGAUGGGCCCUCCCGCGUCUUGGUCGUCAAGACGGGCCCGAAAUGCAGUGGCGGCUUCGCGGUUAUCCGAUCAGCCAGAGCGUAUGGGGACUCUCUCUCUGUCACACGCCCGCGGCGCGGACCGACGCCUGUCGACCUUUAUUCAUCUUUUCUCGGUUGACCUCGGAUCAGGUAGGGAUACCCGCUGAACUUAAGC